GUACACUUUAUGACGAUAUAUUUUUACUUUUACGUUCGAGAUUUAGUAUCUAAUUGUGUUUCUAGUGAAGUUGAUAUAAACUGUGUAAAUGAAACAAAAUGAAAACAUCGCUUGUAAUUUUAACUUUUACUUUCGUCAUGCACCAGAAUAUUCCAAAAUGCGAAACAAGAUUAACAUGUCGACAAAAGGUGCACAACACGAUGGAGUUUUUAAAAUGCCCACCACCAGGUGAUCAAAACAAAGAAUUGAAGUAUUGUUGCUUAAAUAACGGAAUAACGAUGUCAUGUUGUAAUUAUAAUGAUUACCGAGCGCGACACGAGGGUCCUAGUGCUAAGACCAUAUGCUUUGUUAUCAUCUUCGAAAUGGUCAUCGUUGGUAUUGCCAUUUGGUGGUGCUGUAGAUGUGUUCAACGUUGAUCAACGUACAUGUAUUUAAAUCGUAGGUAAUUUUAAAUAAUUUCGUCAGAGGGGAAGAAGAAUUCUUAUUUAAUGAAUUUUAGAAUCAGCUUAUACCUUUUUGAGGAGUAAGUCAUUGGAACACCUUGAAUUUUAACAAUCAAGUACAUUGAAGUACCAUAGAUAAUAAGUUACCUAUUAAGAACCAGUUGAAAGAUUCAAAAACAAGGCAUUAUGUUUUUUUUAUUUUUUGAACGAUAGAAUGCACAAUGUUGAAAGAUGGGUAACAUAUGUGUACCUGUACAUAUAAGUAAUUGUGAAGUUUACAACUUUACAUAACGAGUGCACACGUAUUCAAUUUUAUAACAGUUCUGAAGUUAAUAGUGGCGUAUCGAGGAUUAAAUCAGGGAGAGAAUGGUAGGCUAUGAAAAAUUGCGAUGGAGGGGAGGAAGGCAACGCCGGAUUUUUAGGCAUGAAAAAAAUCUAAAUUUGAGGUAAUUUUUCAAAACUGCUUCACUAUGUAAAAUUAUUUUAUUGAAAUGAAGGUAUAGAAUCACUGCUCAAGCAAAGUGAGAGACUGUGAGAGCGAUCAUUUAAAAAAAAAAUUGGUUUAAAAAACAAAAAACGACCAUUUAUUUUACAUUUUUAGUGGCCAUGAAGAGGGAGGGAGCUUAGCCAAAAACCCUUCUGUAGACAGAGACACGCCACUGAAAGUUACAGAUAAGUUAAAUUUUCAAUUAGAAUCAUCAAUACUUGCUCGAAUAUUAUUUGAAUAAUGUAAUACCACGAUGUAAGAAUGAAAAUAAUACCCAGCUCAGCUUAUCUUGAAGACACAAAAUCCUUUUAUUACCCAUGCACACGUUACGUCAAUAAGUUUCGAUUUCAAUGGUAGUUGUAAUCGUAUUUGUAAGAAGAUUAAUAGACUGAUUCUCAAUAUUUACUACUUAGAUUCAUCGAAUCUUUUUUCAAGACGUGAAGGUUACUAAGUUAACGUACUGGUGUAUGUAGAUAUCUAUUAUAUUACUCCUUACUACUUACCUAUCAGUACGCCAUUGGGCCAUGGGCCACUGGUCAUUAAGUAUAAUAAGUUAUUACUAAAAAAUAAAAAUGAAAAUACGUACCGUAAAAUCGAGCAACUUGGGACAGUUUUCACUUUGAAAUCUUAUAGAUUUUGAUAUAAUGGACCGAAAUUAUUCAUUCAAGUGUCAAAAGUUAGAAGGCGGUCUGUACUUCAAAUAUCAAAUUUAGAAAAAAUUCUACCCCCACCCCUUAAUAUAUUUUUUUUUGAAAAUGUGUUGUCCCAAGUUGUACCCAUAGUGAUUGUAACUUGGGACAAGCAAAAAAAUGACGUUGAAUAUCAGGUUGUAUGCUCUAAGAAACAUCAAGGGACACCUUAAAUGAAGAAAAAAUCGAUCACAAACCAAUCCCCUCCUCUCCCCAUAUCAAAACACACGCUGAAAAGUGACCAAAUUCCUUUUAAAAAAAUGAUGGCCUGAAAUUGGUCUUUUUUGGAAAAAUUUAUCAAAAAAAUAACAAAUUAAACUCACAAAACUUACAAAUACCUAGAUAAAAAUUGAACAAAAAAUGAAUUUUUGGCAAUUUACUCCUCCACGCAUCAAAAGGAACAAAUAAAUUUUACAAAUAUGUAAAAAUUGAACAAAAAAAUGAAUUUUUGGCAAUACACUCCUUGAUGCAUUAUUGCAUUAAGAGGAAUAAAUAAAACUCACAAUAGGUAAAAAUUUAACAAAAAAAAUAAUUUUCUGAAUUACCUCAUCACCACAGAAAUAAUACACCUUCCUCUUUUCCUUCACAAGAAGUAGUUUUUUGAUGACUUGGUCAUUACUGAUGCACCAUGUAUCAGGAAUCUGAGGUCGUUUGAAACUGAUAAUUAGUCAUCUUCGAUUUUUGGACCUUUCCACAGCAUGUCGACCUUGAUUUGAUUUCCUUGAUUUGAUUUCUUUGGCAUCCAAUAUUUUUUUCCAAUACCUGACUAAUGAAAUUUUUAGUCGUUUCUGUUUUAGUUUCAAAAUUAUAGAUCAACGAAGCAAAUAAAAAGUUGCCUUCCUUGACUUCAAUUGUAUUUGUAUUUUCAUUUGAAAAAAAAAACCAUUGCUGGGGCCUGGAUUAACAAGUAAAGUAGAGAAAGUAAAGCUUCCUUUAUAGUGGAAAUAAGCUGGCAAUAGACAAUUUCUACAGAAAAUUGUAUAGACUUUUGAACUUGGACUUUCAAAAUAUGUUAUAACAUUUUUCUUAUACAUUCCGAUGAUUAAUUCACUUUGAUAAAAAGUUCUUAACUUUAUAUUUUGUUCAGUUUUCCAAUUAAAAGUCAAAAUACUUUAACUUUUAUUUAGAAAAAUUCCAUGGAAAGUAUCAAUAUCACCAUUUGAAUUCAUGCAUUCAAUUUAAAUUUUCUGUGGAACUUUUCUAUGACCACUAUAAAGGGAACUUUAAAGUUUUAAAAUCUGUACGAAUUUUUGAUUGAGCGAGGUUUUUAGAAGUUUCGGAUAAUUCAGGUUGAUUGACAUCUUAAUCGGAUUGAGGGGGGGGGGGUCAACAGCAGCUUCAAACUUUUUCCAGGUACGGUAUGCGGUAGAAACCUUUUUUUGCGAGUGAACAAGUGAGCUGAGACAGCAAAAAAAUUCUAAAAAAAAAAAAAGGUUGAAAAUACUGGUCAAUUUUUUAUUGUAAAAACUUGGGACAAAAAUUUUUUUUUUUUCAGACAGCACUCCCUUUAACAUUAAAAAUUUCAUGAACAAAUUACCCUAGAAAAUUGCGCGAUGUCUCAAAUUGAAGCUUGAGAAAUUAUCUAAUAGAAACUAAAGUGAAUAAUUAACUUGACAGUUUCACAUUUGAGGACGACAGAAAGUUAUUUCCUCAUUUUUUUUUGUAGAAAUCCGAGUCUGAUGAAUAAUAUUUUUUUAUCAACUCAUGUAGCAUCAGGGCACCUGGAUUUCAUUAAGAACCUGGGCAUUUAACCAUGCACAACACGUUCAAAUUUUUUCCACAGCGCUAGCUAACAUUUUACCAGUCCCACCUCCACUCAAACUAUAUAGGUAAAAACUGUCCCAAGUUGCACCCUGUCCCAAGUUGCUCGAUUUUACGGUAUGUAGUAUUAUUUCAAAUGUAUAGGAAUUUGAAAAAUAAGUGUGUGUUUUCGAAAUCGAAACGAUCUCUAAAUUAGCACUUCUUCGCCCAAUCUUUUAGGAGCAGAUGAUGGCGGACCUCUAUCGGAGUAUGGGUUGGGUAAUGAUUCUCCAGAGGACCGCCAUCAGGGCACAUUUAUCCAGGUAUCCACUCGGGAUAGUAAAAUGAACUUAAUAUACAAUGCUGAAUGCAUAAAGUAGAUUAAAUAUUGGAAUUAUAAUGGUAGAAAUGUUCAUCAACUUACUUACUUCAGUCUUCAGUCAUAAAGUAAACACUUGAGCAGUACUUGUUUAUCAACUAUUAUCACACUAAAAUUACGCCAAGUUCAUGUACUUGCACUCUCAACAAUCGCGGAUCACAUUGCAAUAACAAAGUUAAUAGUGUUUAGAACAAAAAGAACUCGUAACAAAUUAAAAAUACUUAUACACAAUGAAUAUUGUACUCUGAAAACACGAGCCGAAUAUCCAUUCGCAUGGUCAGAAUCAGAACUGAUAAGAGGGAACUGAUAAAAAACCAGACUGGAAUGGAAUACAAGCGAUUUUUACAGUGUGACCAAAUUAAAAUCUCGAACCAGUUUUGCGGAUUAGCAAACUUUGCGAAAAAUAAAAACUCAAAAUUUAAUAAUUUUUGUUCGAAAUUCGAAAAUGAAUAGAAAUUUUGCAUCAAUCACCGAACUAAAUCAUAAUUUUAAUUUUUGUUUUUUAAACAAUAAGUCGAUAAUCUCUACAUACGAGUACAAUGAAUGAAAAAUCUUUGAAAAUAUUGUCAUACAAAAUUUAAAAAAUAAAAAUCAUUUUUCACGAUUUUAUUGAAACAUUAUAAAAUAAAAACACCAAUAAAUAAAUAAUAAUAUUGUAAAAGUCCGUAAUGAUAAAACAAUAAGUAAAAAUAAUAAAAUUAAUGGGUAAAAAAAAGUGUAAAUUUUUAACUGCAUUUCGUUUCGUUAAACGUGAAUCUCGUUACUUAAUGGUUUAUCACACACCAUUUGCAGUUUAUAUUUCCUAAAUAAACAAUGUACUUAUAAGUGUAACAUGUCAUACAUAUUCUGUUGUAUUGAAAAAAUUUUAAAAUAAAAAAUUCAUCACGAUC